AAUACAGUACAGAUCUCUGUACUGUAAACGACAACAAGGACCAGUCACAAUUUCAGUUCUUGUUACAUUGAUAAGACUCCUUCAGAAAGCAAUGAAGAGAAAAGCUGAAGUCAGUGAUUAGGAGUGUCUGUGUAAGUAAAAGCAACAGGCAAUUACUGAGUGUGGUGUGAGAGGCACGGAAAGAUUGGGAAUUCAGCAAGAAGAGGAAUUGAAGUCAAACCUCACCUACUUCCCAGAGUCUUCUGGAUUUUCUGUUAGAAGCUUCAGUAUCUGAGGAAAGGACUCAGGCAACAAAUAAACAGCUAAGAUUUUACUAGAGUAUGAAAGGGAGAGCACUGGAGUGCAGUGCGGGGAUGGAGAUGCAGCUGUGGUGGCUGGAAGUACAGGAGGGCAGCUGGAGGCACCUGGCCUCUGAAGCCUGUCUUCUUCAUCUGGGUGAGAUCUGCUGGAGUCAGGAAGGACUUCCUGCUGCAAGGAUAAAGACCUAAGAAGCAUCAUGACCUGAGAAACAGUUUCACAGGCCACUCUUGGCAGGUGAAGUGUGGUGGCGUAAUCAUGACUCACUGCAGCCUCGAACUCCGGGACUCAAGCUAAUCUCUUUCCUCAGCCUUCCCAGCAGCUGGGACUACAGGUAUAUGCCACCAAACCUAGCUAACAUUUUAAAAAAUUUUUUCUUUUGUAGAAACGGGGUCUUGCUAUGUUGACCAGGCUGGUUUUAAACUCCUUGCCUCAAGUGAUCCUCCCAUCAUUGCCUCCCAAAGUCUUGGGAUUACAGGCAUGAGCCACUGCGCCCAGCUACAAUAUAUUUUGGAUGCUGACUUUAUAUCCUGUGACUUUGCUAUGGUCGCUUAUUAUUUCUAGACAUUUUUGUUUUUGACAGAGUCUCACUGUUUUGCUUAGGCUGGAGUGCAGUGGCACAAUCUUCAUUCACUGCAACCUCUGCCUCCUGGGUUCAGGCUAUUCUCCUGCCACAGCCUUCAGAGUAGCUGGGACUGCAGGCACGCAACACCAUGCCCGGCUAAUUUUUGUAUUUUUAGUAGAGACAGGGGAAUCACGAUGUUGGUCAGGCUGGUCUCGAACUCCUGACCUCAAGUGAUCUGCCUGCCUCGGCCUCCCAAAGUGUUGGAAUUACAGGCGUGAGCCACCAUGCCUGGCCACGGUUUUUUUGAUCCUUUAGGAUUUUCUACCAAGACUGUCAUGUCAUCUAUAAUCAAGUACUCUUUUAUUUCUUUUUUUCCAAUUUGUUUGUAUUUUAUUUCUUUUUUCUCAAAGCUUAUUGUACUGACUAAGAUCCCCAGAAUAAUGUUGAAUAAAAGUAUUGGAAACAG
ensembl:lncRNA LINC02268 long intergenic non-protein coding RNA 2268